UACGGGGGGGAGCAAGCGUUGUUCGGAUUUACUGGGCGUAAAGGGCGCGUAGGCGGCGCAACAAGUCACUUGUGAAAUCUCCGGGCUUAACCCGGAGCGGCCAAGUGAUACUGUCGUGCUAGAGUGCGGAAGGGGCUACUGGAAUUCUCGGUGUAGCGGUGAAAUGCGUAGAUAUCGGGAGGAACACCAGUGGCGAAGGCGACUACCUGGCCUGUUCUUGACGCUGAGGCGCGAAAGCUAGGGGAGCAAACGGG
rnacentral:rRNA from 1 species